GUGAGCCGUAUGCGAUGAAAGUCGCACGUACGGUUCUUACCGGGGGAAAACUUGUAAAGGUCUACCUAUCGGGAU
rnacentral:ncRNA from 1 species